CGGAUCGGAGUCUGCAACCCGACUCCGUGAAGCUGGAUUCGCUGUAAUCGCGCAUCAGCCAUGGCGCGGUGAAUACGUUCCCGGGCCUUGUACACACCGCCCGUCAAGCCAUGGGAGCCGGGGGUGCUUGAAGUGCGUCGCCGCAAGGCGCGCCCUAGAGCAAAACCGGUGACUGGGGCUAAGUCGUAACAAGGUAGC
rnacentral:rRNA from 1 species